GAAAUGCGAUAAGUAAUGUGAAUUGCAGAAUUCAGUGAAUCAUCGAAUCUUUGAACGCACAUUGCGCCCCUUGGUAUUCCGAGGGGCAUGCCUGUUCGAGCGUCAUUGCAACCCUCAAGCUUUGCUUGGUAUUGAGCUUUUCGCCGGAGAGGGCGUGCUCGAAAAUUAGUGGCGGUCCAGGGAGACUUCAAGCGCAGUAAAUCUUUCCGCUUCCGAGGUCCUCGCCUGUGACCAGCCGUAAACCCCCCCCAUUUUUCAAUGAUUGACCUCGGAUCAGGUAGGGAUACCCGCUGAACUUAA
rnacentral:misc_RNA from 1 species